UUACUUCAUGUGGUUACUUUCCUAUUAACCGACCUGGCCAAUGAUAGCAGUGUCAUAUUGUGUUAAUUUUGUGCUGGCUGCUGAAGAUAACAAGAGAAAGUCUCAAGACAACAAGGCAACCCCAUUGUUUCUCUCCAAUAAAUCUAGUGCAGAUAAUAUGGCAAUUACUCUUGAUUAAUCUGUUCAGUUUCCCCACUAAUUUAAGUUAUGAUGCAAUGAUCAAGACACUCACUACUGCAGGUUGCUACUAACGUGACACUACGAUCAGAGACCCUUCGACGAAACUGUGUGCGAUGCAAUAAUCGCAAACGAUGGUGUAAAAUAACCAUAAAAAAGGUACAAAACGUUUGCGAUGACGGAUGCAUCAAACACGGUUCAAAUUUUAGUUGCAUGUGCGAUGCAGGGCAUACGGUUUAGUUCAAUUAACUGUUUGCAAUGUGGCAGAACAAAAGAAACGGGCAGCCAGAUGAAUCCAAAAGAACCGUUUGCGUUAAAGAGAUGCACAAAUCCUGUUCUCACUUUGCAUCAUGUCGUCCCGGGGUCGACGGGCGGGAGGACGACAGCUGGAGGAGCUGAGAGGUAGCAUUCGGCGGCAGCGUCCCAUGCCGCUGAGGAGGGGGGGGCAUGGAGAGGAAGGCGGGCGGCCAUAGAAGUCAAAGGGCUCGCUUCCUAGUGAGCCUGCGCAGCAUACAACUCACACGCUUCUCGGUGAGCCUACGCAUUCGAGGACAACUUGCACUCCUCUCGGUCAGCCUGCACACCGGACUGCGCUCGCACGCCUCCCGUUCAGUCAAGGUCAAGCAGCUGUCCGCACGGCACCUCCUACAGCCAUUAAAAUCAAGACAUGUGGCAUCAUGUGAAUGGUGAACACAACACACACGGUUUGAAUUAUACAAACGUUUGAGAUAUUAAAGUGGCAGCUAUUUUUUCAAAAUGCCUUUGUUGGAUGUCAUUAUUCGAGUGUGCCUUCUCUCAAAAUGGACAUGAAAAAUACCAUAGCAUGUCGGGUGCCAUUCCAUGGUAGCAUGCCAAGUUUCAUGAAUUUCAGAUGAAUUUUGGAUUUACUAGAAUUUAAAAACCAGGCAUCUCAAUGUUUUGCCGGCAAUCAAUGGUGCGCUGGUGUUUGAAAUUCAUUCCCAUUUCUUGCAUGGGACCUAAGCAUGCACCCAAGGACACAUAUUUGAUUUUUCAACCAAUUUAUAUGCAUUGGAGCAUGUGCAUGUAGUUCAAAUUUGAAUUAUGCACAUAAAUUGAUGCGAAGCAUCCCAAGGCCAUCCCCAUGGACCCAACUACAUCUCCUACGACACCUCUUGGACCCAUGACACGAGCACGUGCAAGAGCUCUUGAAACCGAGGUGACAUCUCUGUUGGAGAUAUGCCCUAGAGGCAAUCAUG
rnacentral:lncRNA from 1 species